UACAGAGGUCUCAAGCGUUGUUCGGAUUCAUUGGGCGUAAAGGGUGCGUAGGCGGCGCGGUAAGUCGGGUGUGAAAUCUUGGAGCUUAACUCCGAAACUGCAUUCGAUACUGCCGUGCUUGAGGCCGGGAGAGGUGAGUGGAAUUCCCAGUGUAGCGGUGAAAUGCGUAGAUAUUGGGAGGAACACCAGUGGCGAAGGCGGCUCACUGGACCGGUUCUGACGCUGAGGCGCGAAAGCGUGGGGAGCAAACGGG
rnacentral:rRNA from 1 species